rnacentral:rRNA from 1 species
GACAGAGGGUGCAAACGUUGUUCGGAAUUACUGGGCGUAAAGCGCGUGUAGGCGGCCCUGCAAGUCGGAUGUGAAAUCCCACGGCUCAACCGUGGAAGUGCAUUCGAAACUGCAGGGCUAGAGUCCUGGAGAGGAAGGUGGAAUGCUUGGUGUAGAGGUGAAAUUCGUAGAUAUCAAGCGGAACACCGGUGGCGAAGGCGGCCUCUGGACAGUGACUGACGCUGAGACGCGAAAGCGUGGGGAGCAAACAGGG